GGGUAGUAACCCCAGAUCCCUGCCCCUCCAGAACUGGUUUUUGAUGUCAUUUAGUGUGUGUAGCCAUGUUGUGUAUAAGGGUUGUGCAAUGCUGUAUGGCAAUCAGUUCAUUGGUCAGUGGGAACAGGAGUACUCUAAGAGACUAACCCCGAGUCUUGUAUUAGCAUAAUUAUUGUCAUAGUAGGCUGUGUUUUAUAUACAUGUAUGUGUACGACUAAUGUGGUUCUAUCGUGUAACAUCCUUACAAUUUACAGUUUAUUUAUAUCAUGUACAACUGAGUUAAAUGAAAUUUUAUAGAAAGUUUGUAAUGACUUAAUCCACAUAGAUUUCUGAAUUUAUAUUCUAGUGUAAUUUUCAUACCAAAAAAGUAUUAAAUUGUAGUAGUAUCUAAUUAUAUAUUUAUAUAUGCUGUGCAGAUGAAUUGAUGAUUCUAAUUCUUGAAUUGAUUUCCAACAAGAUCUUAUGCCUAUGCAUUGAAAUAAAUGAUAGAAAGAGAACAAUUGAAGAAAGAUAACUCCAAAUGAAGCAUUCCUGAUAGUAGAGGACGAACCAUUAUUACAGAACUGUAAAUAAUAUGCUUGUAAGACUGGCAUCUAGAACAUUUUUAAAAUGUGUUUUUUGAAAACCAAUAGCUUUAACUUUUAGGGGAUAUUUUUUUAAUUGAUUUUUUUUAUAUACCUUUGGGUUGUGGUGUAGAUGAUUUGUGUCUGUGUGUUGGGAAAAUAGAAGGAAGUUAAUGUAGAAAUAAAUAGAACUUUGUCCAUUGUCACCUGAAUUUACUGGGUCAUUGUAUCACUUAGGAGUCUGCUGUAUGUGUUAUUGCUGUAGUGACGUAGAGGCCUGUUGAUGUCAGUAGAGAAUCAUCCAAUCACUGUUCUUCUUCUUCUUCUCCAGUGUCCAGGUCUUGUCAGGAAUUCCACUGUCCGCGGGACACAGACAUUUCUGCUUGAAUUAGGUUGUGCAAUUUCAGACAUUUAUCAUUAUCAAAGCUUCCGUGAUAUGGACUUGCCUUUCAAAUUUUGUUUUCAAUGUGCCUAAGUUGCAAUAAAUUAAUGUCUGAAU
rnacentral:misc_RNA from 1 species